UGACCUCGGAUCAGUAGCUGAUACCCGCUGAACUUAA
rnacentral:rRNA from 1 species